GCGUUGUUGGGUAGGGGAGCGUUCUGUAAGCCUGCGAAGGUGUGCUGUGAGGCAUGCUGGAGGUAUCAGAAGUGCGAAUGCUGACAUAAGUAACGAUAAAGCGGGUGAAAAGCCCGCUCGCCGGAAGACCAAGGGUUCCUGUCCAACGUUAAUCGGGGCAGGGUGAGUCGACCCCUAAGGCGAGGCCGAAAGGCGUAGUCGAUGGGAAACAGGUUAAUAUUCCUGUACUUGGUGUUACUGCGAAGGGGGGACGGAGAAGGCUAUGUUGGCCGGGCGACGGUUGUCCCGGUUUAAGCGUGUAGGCUGGUUUUCCAGGCAAAUCCGGAAAAUCAAGGCUGAGGCGUGAUGACGAGGCACUACGGUGCUGAAGCAACAAAUGCCCUGCUUCCAGGAAAAGCCUCUAAGCAUCAGGUAACAUCAAAUCGUACCCCAAACCGACACAGGUGGUCAGGUAGAGAAUACCAAGGCGCUUGAGAGAACUCGGGUGAAGGAACUAGGCAAAAUGGUGCCGUAACUUCGGGAGAAGGCACGCUGAUAUGUAGGUGAAGUCCCUUGCGGAUGGAGCUGAAAUCAGUCGAAGAUACCAGCUGGCUGCAACUGUUUAUUAAAAACACAGCACUGUGCAAACACGAAAGUGGACGUAUACGGUGUGACGCCUGCCCGGUGCCGGAAGGUUAAUUGAUGGGGUCAGCGCAAGCGAAGCUCUUGAUCGAAGCCCCGGUAAACGGCGGCCGUAACUAUAACGGUCCUAAGGUAGCGAAAUUCCUUGUCGGGUAAGUUCCGACCUGCACGAAUGGCGUAAUGAUGGCCAGGCUGUCUCCACCCGAGACUCAGUGAAAUUGAACUCGCUGUGAAGAUGCAGUGUACCCGCGGCAAGACGGAAAGACCCCGUGAACCUUUACUAUAGCUUGACACUGAACAUUGAGCCUUGAUGUGUAGGAUAGGUGGGAGGCUUUGAAGUGUGGACGCCAGUCUGCAUGGAGCCGGCCUUGAAAUACCACCCUUUAAUGUUUGAUGUUCUAACGUGGACCCGUGAUCCGGGUUGCGGACAGUGUCUGGUGGGUAGUUUGACUGGGGCGGUCUCCUCCUAAAGAGUAACGGAGGAGCACGAAGGUUGGCUAAUCCUGGUCGGACAUCAGGAGGUUAGUGCAAUGGCAUAAGCCAGCUUGACUGCGAGCGUGACGGCGCGAGCAGGUGCGAAAGCAGGUCAUAGUGAUCCGGUGGUUCUGAAUGGAAGGGCCAUCGCUCAACGGAUAAAAGGUACUCCGGGGAUAACAGGCUGAUACCGCCCAAGAGUUCAUAUCGACGGCGGUGUUUGGCACCUCGAUGUCGGCUCAUCACAUCCUGGGGCUGAAGUAGGUCCCAAGGGUAUGGCUGUUCGCCAUUUAAAGUGGUACGCGAGCUGGGUUUAGAACGUCGUGAGACAGUUCGGUCCCUAUCUGCCGUGGGCGCUGGAGAACUGAGGGGGGCUGCUCCUAGUACGAGAGGACCGGAGUGGACGCAUCACUGGUGUUCGGGUUGUCAUGCCAAUGGCACUGCCCGGUAGCUAAAUGCGGAAGAGAUAAGUGCUGAAAGCAUCUAAGCACGAAACUUGCCCCGAGAUGAGUUCUCCCUGACCCUUUAAGGGUCCUGAAGGAACGUUGAAGACGACGACGUUGAUAGGCCGGGUGUGUAAGCGCAGCGAUGCGUUGAGCUAACCGGUACUAAUGAACCGUGAGG
rnacentral:rRNA from 1 species